UACGGAGGAUUCAAGCGUUAUCCGGAUUUAUUGGGUUUAAAGGGUGCGUAGGCGGUCUGAUAAGUUAGAGGUGAAAUCCCGGGGCUUAACUCCGGAAUUGCCUCUGAUACUGUUGGGCUAGAGAGUAGUUGCGGUAGGCGGAAUGUAUGGUGUAGCGGUGAAAUGCUUAGAGAUCAUACAGAACACCGAUUGCGAAGGCAGCUUACCAAACUAU
rnacentral:rRNA from 1 species